UACGUAGGGUGCAAGCGUUGUCCGGAAUUAUUGGGCGUAAAGAGCUUGUAGGCGGUUUGUCGCGUCUGCUGUGAAAUCUCAAGGCUCAACCUUGAGCUUGCAGUGGGUACGGGCAGACUAGAGUGUGGUAGGGGAGACUGGAAUUCCUGGUGUAGCGGUGAAAUGCGCAGAUAUCAGGAGGAACACCGAUGGCGAAGGCAGGUCUCUGGGCCACUACUGACGCUGGAGAACGCGAAAGCGUGGGGAGCAAACAGG
rnacentral:rRNA from 1 species